rnacentral:rRNA from 1 species
UACGUAGGCCGCAAGCGUUGUUCGGAAUUACUGGGCGUAAAGCGUGCGCAGGCGGUUUUGUAAGCCAGAUGUGAAAUCCCCGGGCUCAACCUGGGAAUGGCAUUUGGGACUGCAAGGCUGGAGUGUGGCAGAGGAGACUGGAAUUCCUGGUGUAGCAGUGAAAUGCGUAGAUAUCAGGAGGAAUACCGAUGGCGAAGGCAGGUCUCUGGGCUGACACUGACGCUCAUGCACGAAAGCGUGGGGAGCAAACAGG